rnacentral:rRNA from 1 species
GUGCUUGCACUGAAUGAGAUUUUAACACGAAGUGAGUGGCGGACGGGUGAGUAACACGUGGGUAACCUGCCCAGAAGCAGGGGAUAACACCUGGAAACAGAUGCUAAUACCGUAUAACAGAGAAAACCGCCUGGUUUUCUUUUAAAAGAUGGCUCUGCUAUCACUUCUGGAUGGACCCGCGGCGCAUUAGCUAGUUGGUGAGGUAACGGCUCACCAAGGCGAUGAUGCGUAGCCGACCUGAGAGGGUAAUCGGCCACAUUGGGACUGAGACACGGCCCAGACUCCUACGGGAGGCAGCAGUAGGGAAUCUUCCACAAUGGACGCAAGUCUGAUGGAGCAACGCCGCGUGAGUGAAGAAGGGUUUCGGCUCGUAAAGCUCUGUUGUUAAAGAAGAACGUGGGUGAGAGUAACUGUUCACCCAGUGACGGUAUUUAACCAGAAAGCCACGGCUAACUACGUGCCAGCAGCCGCGGUAAUACGUAGGUGGCAAGCGUUAUCCGGAUUUAUUGGGCGUAAAGCGAGCGCAGGCGGUCUUUUAAGUCUAAUGUGAAAGCCUUCGGCUCAACCGAAGAAGUGCAUUGGAAACUGGGAGACUUGAGUGCAGAAGAGGACAGUGGAACUCCAUGUGUAGCGGUGAAAUGCGUAGAUAUAUGGAAGAACACCAGUGGCGAAGGCGGCUGUCUGGUCUGUAACUGACGCUGAGGCUCGAAAGCAUGGGUAGCGAACAGGAUUAGAUACCCUGGUAGUCCAUGCCGUAAACGAUGAUUACUAAGUGUUGGAGGGUUUCCGCCCUUCAGUGCUGCAGCUAACGCAUUAAGUAAUCCGCCUGGGGAGUACGACCGCAAGGUUGAAACUCAAAAGAAUUGACGGGGGCCCGCACAAGCGGUGGAGCAUGUGGUUUAAUUCGAAGCUACGCGAAGAACCUUACCAGGUCUUGACAUCUUCUGCCAACCUAAGAGAUUAGGCGUUCCCUUCGGGGACAGAAUGACAGGUGGUGCAUGGUUGUCGUCAGCUCGUGUCGUGAGAUGUUGGGUUAAGUCCCGCAACGAGCGCAACCCUUAUUACUAGUUGCCAGCAUUCAGUUGGGCACUCUAGUGAGACUGCCGGUGACAAACCGGAGGAAGGUGGGGACGACGUCAAAUCAUCAUGCCCCUUAUGACCUGGGCUACACACGUGCUACAAUGGAUGGUACAACGAGUUGCGAAACCGCGAGGUUUAGCUAAUCUCUUAAAACCAUUCUCAGUUCGGACUGUAGGCUGCAACUCGCCUACACGAAGUCGGAAUCGCUAGUAAUCGCGGAUCAGCAUGCCGCGGUGAAUACGUUCCCGGGCCUUGUACACACCGCCCGUCACACCAUGAGAGUUUGUAACACCCAAAGCCGGUGGGGUAAC